GUGAUGCAUGGUGCAGUAUGUGUGAUGCUGUGUGUGAUGCAGGGUGCAAUGUGUGUGAUGCUGUGUGCACUGUGUGUGAUGCAGGGUGCAAUUUGUGUUAUACUGUGUGCACUGUGUGUGAUGCAUUGUGCAAUUUGUGUUAUACUGUGUGCAUAGAGUAAUACUGUUUGCAUUGUGUGUGAUACGGUGGUAAAACAGUGAUGAUGGGUGAAUAGAAAGAUGCUGUGUGCAGUGUGUAAUGAUGUGUGUGCAUAGAGUGAUGCUGUGUGAAUUGAAUGAUGCUCUGUGAAAUGUUUGUCUUGCUAUGCACAUAGAGUGACACUGUGUGCAUAAAAUGAUGCUGUGUGCAAUAUGUGUGAUUCUCUGUGCAUAGAGUAAUGCUGUGUGUAGUG